CAAAAAUUAGCCAGGCAUGGUGGUGGGCGCCUGUAGUCCCAGCUACUCAGGAGGCUGAGGCAAGAGAAUUGCUUGAACCUGGUAGGCGGAGGUUGCAGUGAGCCAAGAUCAUUCCACUGCAUUCCAGCUUGGGCGACAGAGCGAGACUCUGUCUCAAAAAAUAAUAAUUAUUAUUAUUAUUUAUUUAUAAUUGGGGCAAGUGGUACGAAGAUAUCAAGUUCAUAACUAGGAAAAGGGCGGGCGGCCAAAGUAUUCCUUGAGGAAGUAAUUUCCAAGCUGAGCUCUAAAGGAUGAAUACAAAUUAACGGGGCAAAAAAGGGGGGAAGGAAGGCUAACACUGGAGAGGGGGGACAUGUGCAAAGGCCCUGGGGCAGGAACAAAAACUUCUCACACAUCAUUAAAGUUGGCUUUUGCUACCUCCAAAGGGCUAGCAAACCAUGUCUGGCCCCUGGUCUGCUACAAUCCUUCAAUAAACAGUUACUGAAAGAGCAAAUGGUCCUUACAAUGUGGUCCCAAAGGACCCUUCUCUCUCACCAUUCCUUACAAAAGAAUGCUCUAGUUACAUUUUGACCUAUUUUCUAUUCCUGCCACUUUUAUUCAUGUACUUGCAUCCUGACAUUCACACCUCCAGUUAUUCUCUAUGUAUAAGCUUCUCUAUCUUUUCCCUUAAUCAAAAAAAAAAUUUUUUUUUUUGAAACAGAGUUUUGCUUUUGUUGCCCAGGCUGGAGUGCAAUGGCACAAUCUCGGCUCACCACAACCUCCGCCUCCCAGGUUCAAGUGAUUCUCCUGCCUCAGCCUCCCGAGUAUAGCUGGGAUUGUGGGCAUGCGCCACGACGCCCGGCUAAUUUUGUAUUUUUAGUAGAGACGGAGUUUCUCCAUGUUGGUCAGGC
rnacentral:lncRNA from 1 species